CGCCAAGCACGUCAGCUCGUUUUCACGGGACAAAUCUAUCAAGAAUUCAUCGGUGCUACUAUUAAUGAGUGCAAUAGAAAUACUCCGGUAAGCAACAAAAAUCUGCACAAAUCUUUUUUAUACAUGUUUGAGAAUAUCAGCUGUACAUAUAUGAGUAUUUGGGGGGGGGGGGGGGGGGGGGGGGGGGGGGGGGCUGAACUACCAUCAUUUGCCCAUGUUGUUGCGUAAACGUAUCUGUGAAAGUACAUGUUUUGGGUGUGUGGGCAGCUCCAUCAUCCAUGGAUCAGGUGAGCCCCAAUUUACAGUCGAAGAAAGGAGACCCAUUAUAUCUUCAGUUCAGUGAGCUGUGAUCGAGUUCCAACCAUACCAGCCUCCAGGAUGUCUUCGUCGAACUUUGGGGGACUAGACGGCGUGCUGCUCGAGGGCGUGUGCGUGUCUGAUAGGAACACAUCCGAGUUGUUGUCAGACCAUUCUGCGGCGGUGGCGGCGGCAUCAGCAUCACCAGCUUCUGCAUCUCGGGGGAUUUCUGGAUUGGGUUCGACUUUGGUGUCAUCCACUUCGUGUUCCUCCUGUGCAGAUGUAUCAUUGGAGAGUUGACCUCCUUGAAAGUUCGGUCCAGAACCAGAAGCCUCAGGUUCUGGAGAAGAAUGCACACUGGCAAGAGAAGAAUGGUUUUCAGCAGGUUCUAUGUGAUGAAUCUGGACAGUUCUGCUGCUGUUUCCAGCUGAUGCGCUGCUGGUUCCUGUUUCCUCUAGAGGUAUUUUUUCGAAGCCAUCGUGUUCUGUCUGUAAUCCCUUCUGUUUUGAAUCUUCGUUUGUGAUGUGAACGCUUUUGCUUGACCAUUCCAGAUGGCUGAAGGCAUCACCAACCUUGGAAAGGCUUUCUUUCUCCUCGCUAGAUAACCCUGAUUUGUGAACUGCUGUGCCUAUUUCCAUAUCAGAAAAUAUAACCUACAAUUAUCAGGAAAACAUUAUGUGUAAGUAACUGUAUAC
rnacentral:lncRNA from 1 species